rnacentral:rRNA from 1 species
GACGAACGCUGGCGGCGUGCUUAACACAUGCAAGUCGAACGGAAAGGCCCUGCUUUUGUGGGGUGCUCGAGUGGCGAACGGGUGAGUAACACGUGAGUAACCUGCCCUUGACUUUGGGAUAACUUCAGGAAACUGGGGCUAAUACCGGAUAGGAGCUCCUGCUGCAUGGUGGGGGUUGGAAAGUUUCGGCGGUUGGGGAUGGACUCGCGGCUUAUCAGCUUGUUGGUGGGGUAGUGGCUUACCAAGGCUUUGACGGGUAGCCGGCCUGAGAGGGUGAACGGCCUCAUUGGGACUGAGAGACGGCCCAGACUCCUACAGGAGGCAGCAGUGGGGAGUAUUGCACAGUGGGCGGAAGCCUGAUGCAGCGACGCCGCGUUCGUGAUGACGGCCUUCGGGUUGUAAACCGCUUUCGCCUGUGACGAAGCGUGAGUGACGGUAAUGGGUAAAGAAGCACCGGCUAACUACGUG